rnacentral:rRNA from 1 species
AUUGAACGCUGGCGGAAUGCUUUACACACGCAAGUCGAACGGCAGCACGGGGCAACCUGGUGGCGAGUGGCGAACGGGAGAGUAAUACAUCGGAACGUGCCCAAUCGUGGGGGAUAACGUAGCGAAAGUUACGCUAAUACCGCAUACGAUCUACGGAUGAAAGCGGGGGAUCGCAAGACCUCGCGCGAAUGGAGCGGCCGAUGUCAGAUUAGGUAGUUGGUGGGGUAAAGGCUCACCAAGCCGACGAUCUGUAGCUGGUCUGAGAGGACGACCACCCACACUGGGAGUGAGACACGGCCCAGACUCCUACGGGAGGCAGCAGUGGGGAAUUUUGGACAAUGGGCGCAAGCCUGAUCCAGCCAUUCCGCGUGCAGGAUGAAGGCCUUCGGGUUGUAAACUGCUUUUGUACGGAACGAAACGGCGAGCUCUAAUACAGUUUGCUAAUGACGGUACCGUAAGAAUAAGCACCGGCUAACUACGUGCCAGCAGCCGCGGUAAAAC